rfam:Triticum aestivum genome assembly, contig: Triticum_aestivum_CS42_TGACv1_scaffold_485342_6AS
CAACUACUCCCUCUAUCCCAAAUUUUUGUCUUAGAUUUGUCUAGAUACGGAUGUAUCUAAUACUAAAAUGUGACUUGAUACAUCAGUAUCUAGAUACGGAUGUAUCUAAUACUAAAAUGUGACUUGAUACAUCCGUAUCUAGACAAAUCUAAGACAAGAAUUUUGGGACGGAGGGAGUACUUU